rnacentral:rRNA from 1 species
CAGCCGCCGCGGUAAUACGAAGGGGGCUAGCGUUGCUCGGAAUUACUGGGCGUAAAGGGAGCGUAGGCGAGUCGUUUAGUCAGAGGUGAAAUCCCGGGGCUCAACCUCGGAACUGCCUUUGAUACUGGCGACCUUGAGUAUGGGAGAGGUGAGUGGAACUCCGAGUGUAGAGGUGAAAUUCGUAGAUAUUCGGAAGAACACCAGUGGCGAAGGCGACUCACUGGCCCAUUACUGACGCUGAGGCUCGAAAGCGUGGGGAGCAAACAGGAUUAGAUACCCCGGUAGUCCCUGUCUCUUAUAC